rnacentral:misc_RNA from 1 species
UUUCCGUAGGUGAACCUGCGGAAGGAUCAUUAACGAGACGCGCGCCCCGCGCAUCUACAACCCGUGCACCCGUCGACGCUUCCGCCCUAGGGCGUGAGGCGUACGUGUCUCAUAAAACCUUUUGUGACCUCUGAAAACGUACGGCGCGUCUGUCGCCGCUUACAAUCAGAACAACUUUCAACAACGGAUCUCUUGGCUCUCGCAUCGAUGAAGAACGCAGC